AUUUAAUUAUAAUUAUAAUUAUUUUAAUAAUUACAUUUAGAUUGCCUACAAAACCCUCAUGAGAGAUCAGACAAAAUCAGCUGUUAUUCUGUUAUUAUUUUUGCUAACAAAUUUAGUAACAGAGAUAGUGUUUGCACCAUAUCCAAUGUUGGUUACUCUGAAAACGCAUUUAUUCCAAUCAAACCAACAAACAAAUAAGCUUCCAUUUACCGAAGAUCAUUUUAUAUCCUGUUAACUUGAAAGACCUUUGGGUUAGUUUCUAUUAUAUUUAGGAAUAACUUAGAAAAGUCUUCACUCCAAGCCAAUUAAAUAGAGUUCUUUUAGAAAUUAUAUCACCUGGAGGCAGACAAAUACAUAUAGAGACAGAUAGAGAUCUUUGGAAUUUUAACCAGGUCUCAGGUACAAAACUCGAAAGAGCAGCUGGGUCUGAACUGUUUUUCUGGUAGGUGGACCUGCUCAGAUAGUCAACGAUUUUUACUAAACAUUUUUGUCUUUUUGAUAUAAGGAUUCUUUUUAUAGCUGGUUUUUUUUAAAGAUUUUAUUAUCUGUUUUCCUUCUUCUCCCCAAAGCCCCCCAGUACAUCGUUGUGUAUUUCAGUUGUGGGUCCUUCUAGUUGUGGCAUGGCCUGAUACGCUGUGCCAUGCCCGCACCCAGGACCCAAACCGGCCAGUGAAACGCUGGGCCAUGGAAGCAGAGCGUGUGAACUUAACCACUCAGCCACACUGCUGGGCCCCCUUUAUAGCUGUUUUUGAAAUCAUUUUGUCUUUUUGAAGUUUCUGCAUAUUAAUCAAAGACUGCAUUCCAUCAUGAGAGGUUUGAAUUCUCUCUUUUAAGGGUGACUCCUUAAGGUGGACUCAUCUGAAACAGAGGUUCCCCAGAAUGACCAUUGUAAUUCCAAAUUAUCUCAAAAGUUUACUUAUUUUCACUUGCUUAAUUUUAGAUCAGGAAUUUUGGGGAGUCGAAGUAGGGAAGCUCAGUGAGCGAGAAGAUUUGGUUUCAUUUUGCAAGCAUCUUUAGUUAUUUAAUUAUUUUCUUUUAAAGAGGCAGUAAAUUAUUCCUAAUUUCAUUUAGAAGCCUCAGAAGAUUAAAAUAGGCUUCCCAUUCAUUGUUCAAUUUUACAGCCAGCUCUUUCCAAUUGCAUAUGCAAAUACACCAGUUUAGGUAAACUGAGACUGUCCCAUUUUGGCCAUUUUCUCUCUGGAAUCUAAAGAAUAUUGUGGCCGUGUGGUGUUACAAAAGAAAACUAUCUUCUUUUUGGACGUGGGCUCAUAGCUAAAGUCAGCCCAUUUAGCCAAGUGGCAGUCCAGAGGCCUUUUCUUGGGAUAGAUGGAGGUCCCCCCCCAUUCUGAUACACAGAGAUAGACAGACACACAGAUCCAGGCACAGAAAAAACAGACACCAGUGAACUCGUUCCCAGAUUUAGAGUAGAAAGCCCUACAACUGUUCCCACUCCGAAUGUGCACCCAGAUGGCCCCUCCGCCAACAGAAAGGACCCCAGAUGGCCCCUCCAUUAAUGGAAGGAACCCCAGAUGGAGGGGAACGGAGUUCAUAGGCAUCCCCAAGGCGACUUACCCUAUUCCAGAUUGAGCCCGUCAACUCACCAGAAGCAAAAACAAACAAACGAACAAACAAACAAAUCUAGAGCCUGUUUCAUUUCUUCAGCCAUGAGGCAGCGUUGAAGGCAGUUGACAAUCAGGAGAACUCAGAGGACAGUCCCCAGGAGAAAGAACAUCCCAGCAGCUGCUGGGAGAGUCCUGAGAGUUCUCCUGGAGUUGACUAGCCACAGGCAGAGGCACAUCCCAUCUGGGUCACCAGAAAUUUGUAACCGAGCAAAAAGGGCCACGUUCCGCUCACUGCAAUCUGGUGCCAAUCAAUUGGAAACAAGCCAGUGGUUGAGAAGGGAAAAUGUAUACGAUUACCCAGCAUAAUCAGAAGAUGAUGGACUAGCGUCCUGAAGAACCAUGUUACAAUCAUACAGAAUCUUGAGGCAGUUAUAUAGGGGAAACGGGCAGGGAAGGAGGGGGAUUAGGGAUGUCGACCAUCCCGUGUGAGGAACUUCAGAGUGCCACAUUCUCUCUUUCUUCUGUCAUUUGUGAUGGGUACCAAUGCAGAAUUUUUCUUUCUGGAGGUCAUCAUGUUCCUGGGGAACUCAGAGAACAAAGCCGGCUUUUCACAGCUGGGAGAUGUAUGUAAGCAUGAGUCAUAGAACUAGCAGAUCAUGUAUUUUGUAAAAGCAAGAGGUGCUUAAUCUUUAAAAAAAAUUUUUUUAAAAAAAGCAAAUUUGUCUUUUAUUUUACCCUCAAAAUGAGGUUACUCCAAAAUAGCCAAAAGAAUCAGAAUUCAGGAAGCACAUGCUACGUCAAACCAUAGGCAAAUACCACAAGCAAAGGAGGGGAGCUGCUUUUAUAGAGAAAAAGGGGGAGAGGGAGGGGCUGUUCUGAAGGAAAAUCCAUUGGGGGAGAGGAACAGUUCAGGGUGGGAAUGGCUUCUCAUUGGCUGAGCUGUGGCAUUUCUCAUUGGCUGAGCUGCGGUGUUUCUCAUGGGCUGAGCUGUGGCGUUUCCCAUUGGCUGAGCUGUGGCGUUUCCCAUUGGCUGAGCUGUGGCGUUUCCCAUUGGCUGAGCUGUGGCGUUUCCCAUUGGCUGAGCUGUGGCGUUUCCCAUUGGCUGAGCUGUGGUGUUUCUUAUUGGCUGAGCUGCGGUGUUUCUCAUUGGCUGAGCUGUGGUGUUUCUCAUUGGCUGAGCUGCAGUGUUUCUCAUUGGCUGGACUGUUGCCUGGUGGAGAGAGAAAUCUUCCUUCAGUAGUAAAGUAGUGGUAGUUCCUGUGGGACAUGCAAGUGCCCAUCUCUUCCUGGUUGGUGUGAUUGACAUGUGUGAUGGGGUGAGAGCUCCCCUACAAGUCUCCGUGACUCUAGUUUAGUUGAGGUUUGUCUUAUUUCACAAGAGUUUCUGUUUGGAGUGAUGAGACAGUUUUGGAAAUAGUGGUGAUGGUUGCGUAACACGUGAAUGUACUUAAUGCCACUGAACUCUAUGCUUAAAAAUGGUUAUAUGACAACUUAUACAUUGUAUAUAUUUUACCACAGUUUAAAAAGUGAGCAGAAUGUGUCCACCACAGACAUGCACAGUAGGAAAUGUUAAAGGAAAUUCUUCAGGUUGAAGGGAAAUAAUAUAACAUGGAAACAGAUCUACAUGAAGAAAGAGGACAGGAAAUGGGAAAAUCCUGUAAUCAGCACCAUGUGAAUGAGCCAGGGCUGGCCUGCUGGAGGACGGACAUCACACGCCCAGCUAAUACCACUGACCAUCCUGACAGCCAGCCAUCUACCAAACACGUGAGGCCAAAAAUUGCCAGCUAACCACAAAGUCAAUGAACCCAAGUGAUACCACACGGAGCAGAGAUGAACCAUCUCGGCUGCUCCCAGCCUGAAUGUCAUAAUUUAGGGCAAGUCACAUAAUUAUGAGAAAAUCAAUGGAUGUUGUUUAUGCCACUAAGUUUUCGGGUGAUUCCCUUUUUUUUUCAAGUGUUUUUUUUUUUUUUUUUCCUGAGGAAGAUUCGCUCUGAGCUAACACCUGUGGCCAAUCUUCCUCUUUUUGGUUGAGGAAUAUUCACCCUGAGCUAACAUCUUGCCAGUCUUCCUCUAUUUCAUAUGUGGGUCACCGGCACAGAAUGGCUGCUGACAAGUGGUGCAGUUCUGAGUCCAGGAACUGAACCUGGGCCGCCAAAGCAGAGGGUGCCAAACUUAACCAGUAGGCCACGGGGCUGGCCUCUAGGGUGACUUCUUACACUGCACAAACUGGCGGCUGCAUGGGUCUAGCACUGAGCCUGUUGUCUUCUGUGCUAGACGAGCUCUCUGCUCCUAGACUCCAGUCGCCAGGUGGCGGAGAGGAGAGCCGAGCCACUUGCUGAGAGGAGGCAGGAACUGUGGCUUUGUCUCCUGGGGUUGUGAGACUAUAAAUGGGAUGUAAGUGCUGUCACAGUUAACUUGCUAAAACUGAUCUUGACAGUUACACUUAAAACUCUUCAACACUCAUCAAACUGGCAAAGAUGAAAACAAUCCGCCUUCAGCACUGGCGAGGGGGGAGCAGAGGCUCCCUGACACUCUUCACUCUGAUGCUGGCAGAGCCUUUCUGAAGGGCAAUUUACAACACGUGCCAAGACCUUAAAUACCUUUUUUUUUUUUUGAAGGAGAUUAGCCCUGAGCUAACAUCUGCUGCCAAUCCUCCUCUUUUUGCUGAGGAAGGCUGGCCCUGAGCUAACAUCCAUGCCCAUCUUCCUCUACUUUAUACUUGGGACGCCUACCACAGCAUGGCUUUUGCCAAGUGGUGCCAUGUCCACACCCGGGAUCUGAACUGGUGAACCCCGGGCCACCGAAACAGAACAUGCGAACUUAACUGCUACGCCACCGGGCCGGCCCAUUGAAUACCUUUUGAGCAAUUUCACUUUUAGGAAUCCCCCAAAGGAAAUAACAAACCACAUGCAAGAACUUAUGAACAAAAAAUAUCGAGCACUGAGUUCUUUAUGAAUACCAGACAAAAAUGUUUAGCAUGUCUAUAGCCAUUUCCCGAAUGCCAGGCCUUGUUCUAGUGUUAACACAUAUGGACACAUUGAAGCCUCCUAACAGCCCUCUCAGGCGUCAUUUCCAUCUCAGGGGUGAGCAAAUGAGUGCACAGUGAGUCAAUCUCUCCUCUCAAAUCUGGCAGGACAGCCACACCCUCCCGCGACUCCUGCACAUCCUGGACCGUCUACUCCCUGGCCAUCUCUCCUCCAGUGGUCUCGUCUUGCUAACUGCCUGCUAUCCCUACCAUCUCUGUCUGUCUUCCUUCUCCCACAGCCUGCCCACAUGCAGGUCUGGGGUGGUAGAAAGGAUUUCCAUUACAGACAUUCCACAAACAAAAGAACCGGGUGUCAGACAUCCCAGCCGUGGGAAGUCCACUGAGAUGGGCUUCUCCUCUUCCUCACUGGGAGGCUUUCUCUCACCCUACCCACCCUGCUCUCCCCCACCUAGCUUCCAGCUCUUUUCCUAUGCAGAGGGUUUCUCUCUAUGUAGCCUGAGCAGCUUCCUCCUUCCUGAACUGCAAGCUGUGCCUCCCGACCACCCCACCCAGGUAAGCCCUGGGCCUUGCCACACCCCACUUCUCUCCAGCCCUACCACCUAAGGCUACACAGGUGCACCAGCCUCUCUGAAGGGGGUGGGGGAGUAACUAAAAGGAAUGCAAUGUAGCCACACCAAACACACUUAUCAGAGGGACAUGCACAAAAUGUCAAAUCCCACCUGGGUAUUAUCUGCUCCCCUGUCUCUAUGCCCUGCAAAGGUAUCUGCCUCCCUGCUCCACCGACCCAGCCUGCACCCACUCUUGGGGGAAUUUCCCCCUCCUGCCAUCUCCUUCCCUCUAGAAGGUCUACACAGGAGUCAGGUGACCUGACUCACCAGGCCCUCAGGUGGGCACAGGUGGUUGGCAGACUGGGACCAUUACCUAACCAUGGAUGCCCCCCUCACCUUUUAUCCUGGAGGAGGGCAAACAGGAAGUGACUGGGGAACAGAACUACCCUCGAGGACCCUGUGGGUCCCCCCUUCACCCCAGCAUCACACACACGCCCUGACCCUCACUUGCAGAGCGUGACCCUCAGACUCUCUGAGCCAGAUCCUGUUGGAAGAAAAGUUUAUGAGUCUACUGUUUCCUAGAUCAUGGCUUUUCCACCAGGCUCUCAGGGACCAGGAUGAACGCAGUGUGAAUCUCACUGCAACAGUGUCCCACACGCCCUAGUACAGGGCACGCCUCGGGCAGCAUCCCCACCUCCAGGGAAAGACCCUCACCAGCAGUGCCUGGAUUCCAGCAGUAAGGGCUUCUUCCAGUGGGGAUAAAGUGAAGUGAGACACAAGCAGGACCAACGCUGCUGUUUCCCGGGGCCAGAGUCCUGCGCCCCCGCCAGCCCGCAGCACACAGCGGGCUUCAGGGCAGAGGACCCCAAAAAGCAGCAGGACUGGGCGGGGCAAGCCGCAGACGGGCGCCGGGAGGCGAGGCCUAGGCAAUGGGGCCGUCUAACCACAAGGGGGUCCGCGAGCCACUGGGGGCCCGGAGCUGGGGGAGGGAGGGUACUUCCCCCGACCCUGGUUCUGCCGGGCCUUCGCCACUCACGUCCCUCCAGACUCCUGGGAGCCUCUGAACCUGAGACCCCCCUCCCGCUCUGGGGCUGCCUCCACGGCCCAGCGACCCGCCGAACAUCGACUGAGCGCCUGCUGGGCCAGGGCUGCUGACCAGCCCGUCGGAGCCGCCGCCCGAAGGGCACCCAGAUGCCCACAGGCCGUGCGCGAGGGGCUGGGGCAAGCAAGGGGUCCACAGGCGGGAAAGAGGCCCCGCGGGGUACUCGAGCCCCGUAAGGAGAGGCCUUCGGGGCCUUCCGUCCACGCUUCGCACCCGCUUGGCCCUGACGCAGCAGCGGCGCUGGUUGCCUGUUUAGUUCUGGCCGCGUCGGCUCUUCGGCGCUCGGAGCCCUCCGGGGAGCUGUUUGCUGGGGACGGGUUCCAGGUGGCCCAGGACGGGGGCACAGACGCGGGCGCAGGCAGGGAGGGGAG
ensembl:lncRNA